CAGUAUCAUGAAGAUACCAGCUCAUCGCAGUGGAGUUUGAAAUUAAAAUCAGCUCUCUUCACAAAUGGAGAGAUGAGUGUUUGCUAGAUAAGGUUGCCGGAUGUUGCAAAUCAAAACAUUUGAUGCCCAGUGAAAUUUGAAUUUCAGAUAAGCAACGAAUCAUUGCUUAGUGUAAGUAUAUCCCACUGAACUCCAGAUAAACAAUUUUUGUAUAUUUCCCAAAUAUUGCAUGGCACAGACUUGUAUUGAAAAAUAGCCGUUGCUGAUCUGAAUUUCAAAUUUCACUGGGUGUCCUGUAUUUUAUCUGGCAACCUUAUUUCCAGGAGUUUGGGAGGCUAAACUAAAAAUCCUCCCCUGCAAGACCUUAAUUCAUCCCGUUGGUGGUCCUGUCUCCAUGAAGCUGAGGGUUGAUUUCUUUCCGAGAAGCCAAUGCAAGGCCUUCAUCAUCUUCAUUUCAAGGCUUAGGCCGAGUUUCCUGGGAAUCCUGUGAAUCCUUGGAGGUAGGUUGCUUAAAUAGCCGAAGUUUAAAACUCUCCAGAAUGCACAGCUAAGCUAGGUUCCCAGGGUCGCGCGAUGCCUGGAAGCCAUUCUACAUGGCAGUAGGGAACAGGCUGCUAUCCCCAGGCUGUCCUACUUGGUCAUCGAGACGUGAAAGCAGUGCCCUUGUGUCUCUCUUGAAAACAGCUCUGUAGUAAAGACUUCUAGUCCUUCAUAAAUUUAAUUCUUCUCUCCUUCUGGGCACCGUUCAUCAAGG
rnacentral:lncRNA from 1 species